rnacentral:lncRNA from 1 species
GGGAAACACAGACAAUCCUAUAGGCUGUAUAUAAACUUGUCUUAUAGUUUAGGGCUUUGGUGUGUGUUGUUUUUUUACGCAGAGAUCUUUCCAACUCUUCUUUGCAUUUUAUUAUGCCUACGCUCUGUUUCCAAACACUUUUUGAUAAGCUGUCCAAACAUGCCUAGGUAUGGCUUUAUGUGAUUGCCGCGAUGUCAUCGGGAGCCAUUUCAUCUAGCCUACCACGGGGAUGCCAGAACAGCUUCAUAUAAAAGUACAAGAAAAAAAAAAUGAAGCAAGGCUGAACUGGUGAAGAAAAUUUGCCAUUAUGAUUCCAAGUGAAACACUUUUUAGAAGAACUGUCUAAUAAGGAGCCAGCUCUUUGACAUGGUGCAUUACAGCGAGUAAGCAACUUGGCUGCUCUCCCAGGCAGAGAGCAGCUCACUGGGUGCCACCACAUUGCCCUUAAACCAGUGGUUUCCCCAGUCACUGCUUAAUAUGUU